AGACCCGAAACCCGGUGAUCUAGCCAUGGGCAGGUUGAAGGUUGGGUAACACUAACUGGAGGACCGAACCGACUAAUGUUGAAAAAUUAGCGGAUGACCUGUGGCUGGGGGUGAAAGGCCAAUCAAACCGGGAGAUAGCUGGUUCUCCCCGAAAGCUAUUUAGGUAGCGCCUCGUGAAUUCAUCUCCGGGGGUAGAGCACUGUUUCGGCUAGGGGGCCAUCCCGGCUUACCAACCCGAUGCAAACUGCGAAUACCGGAGAAUGUUAUCACGGGAGACACACGGCGGGUGCUAACGUCCGUCGUGAAGAGGGAAACAACCCAGACCGCCAGCUAAGGUCCCAAAGUCAUGGUUAAGUGGGAAACGAUGUGGGAAGGCCCAGACAGCCAGGAUGUUGGCUUAGAAGCAGCCAUCAUUUAAAGAAAGCGUAAUAGCUCACUGGUCGAGUCGGCCUGCGCGGAAGAUGUAACGGGGCUAAACCAUGCACCGAAGCUGCGGCAGCGACACUC
rnacentral:rRNA from 1 species